rnacentral:rRNA from 1 species
UACGGAGGAUGCAAGCGUUAUCCGGAAUCAUUGGGUUUAAAGGGUCCGUAGGCUGAUUAUUAAGUCAGGGGUGAAAUGUAAUAGCUCAACUAUUAAUGUGCCUUUGAUACUGGUAGUCUUGAAUAUUAUGGAAGUGAUUAGAAUGAGUAGUGUAGCGGUGAAAUGCAUAGAUAUUACUCAGAAUACCGAUUGCGAAGGCAUGUCACUACAUAAUUAUUGACGCUGAUGGACGAAAGCGUGGGUAGCGAACAGG